rnacentral:tRNA from 1 species
AUUUAUAUAGUUUAACAAUUUUAAAACUCCUCAUUUUCAAUGAGAAAAUAAGAUAAAUAUCUUUAUAAAUA